AUGAACGCUGGCGGCGUGCUUAACACAUGCAAGUCGAACGAAGCACUUUAUUUGAUUUCCUUCGGGACUGAUUAUUUUGUGACUGAGUGGCGGACGGGUGAGUAACGCGUGGGUAACCUGCCUUGUUCAGGGGGAUAACAGUUGGAAACGGCUGCUAAUACCGCAUAAGCGCACAGCAUCGCAUGAUGCAGUGUGAAAAACUCCGGUGGUAUAAGAUGGACCCGCGUUGGAUUAGCUAGUUGGUGAGGUAACGGCCCACCAAGGCGACGAUCCAUAGCCGACCUGAGAGGGUGACCGGCCACAUUGGGACUGAGACACGGCCCAAACUCCUACGGGAGGCAGCAGUGGGGAAUAUUGCACAAUGGGCGAAAGCCUGAUGCAGCGACGCCGCGUGAGCGAAGAAGUAUUUCGGUAUGUAAAGCUCUAUCAGCAGGGAAGAUAAUGACGGUACCUGACUAAGAAGCACCGGCUAAAUACGUG
rnacentral:rRNA from 1 species